UACGUAGGGGGCAAGCGUUGUCCGGAUUUAUUGGGCGUAAAGAGCGUGUAGGCGGCCAAACAGGUCAGCUGUGAAAACUCGAGGCUCAACCUCGAGACGUCGGUUGAAACCGUUUGGCUAGAGUCCGGAAGAGGAGAGUGGAAUUCCCGGUGUAGCGGUGAAAUGCGCAGAUAUCGGGAAGAACACCCGUGGCGAAGGCGGGUCUCUGGGCCGAUACUGACGCUGAGGAGCGAAAGCGUGGGGAGCGAACAGG
rnacentral:rRNA from 1 species